rnacentral:rRNA from 1 species
GAUGAACGCUAGCGGCAGGCCUAAUACAUGCAAGUCGAACGAUAGAAGAGGGCUUGCUCUCUUCGAAAGUGGCGCACGGGUGCGUAACGCGUAUGCAACCUACCUUAAUCAGGGGGAUAGCCCGAAGAAAUUCGGAUUAACACCGCAAAAAAUCACAGUACAGCAUUGUACAAUGAUCAAAUAUUUAUAGGAUUACGAUGGGCAUGCGUGACAUUAGCUAGUUGGCGGGGUAACGGCCCACCAAGGCGACGAUGUCUAGGGGAUCUGAGAGGAUGACCCCCCACACUGGUACUGAGACACGGACCAGACCCCUACGGGAGGCAGCAGUAAGGAAUAUUGGUCAAUGGAGGCAACUCUGAACCAGCCAUGCCGCGUGCAGGAAGACGGCCCUCUGGGUUGUAAACUGCUUUUAUUCGGGAAUAAACCUCAUUAUGUAUAGUGAGCUGUAUGUACCGAAGGAAUAAGGAUUGGCUAACUCCGUGCCAGCCGCCGCAGUAA